AGAGUUUGAUCCUGGCUCAGGACGAACGCUGGCGGCGUGCCUAAUACAUGCAAGUCGAACGCUUCUUUUUCCACCGGAGCUUGCUCCACCGGAAAAAGAGGAGUGGCGAACGGGUGAGUAACACGUGGGUAACCUGCCCAUCAGAAGGGGAUAACACUUGGAAACAGGUGCUAAUACCGUAUAACAAUCGAAACCGCAUGGUUUUGAUUUGAAAGGCGCUUUCGGGUGUCGCUGAUGGAUGGACCCGCGGUGCAUUAGCUAGUUGGUGAGGUAACGGCUCACCAAGGCGACGAUGCAUAGCCGACCUGAGAGGGUGAUCGGCCACAUUGGGACUGAGACACGGCCCAAACUCCUACGGGAGGCAGCAGUAGGGAAUCUUCGGCAAUGGACGAAAGUCUGACCGAGCAACGCCGCGUGAGUGAAGAAGGUUUUCGGAUCGUAAAACUCUGUUGUUAGAGAAGAACAAGGAUGAGAGUAACUGUUCAUCCCUUGACGGUAUCUAACCAGAAAGCCACGGCUAACUACGUGCCAGCAGCCGCGGUAAUACGUAGGUGGCAAGCGUUGUCCGGAUUUAUUGGGCGUAAAGCGAGCGCAGGCGGUUUCUUAAGUCUGAUGUGAAAGCCCCCGGCUCAACCGGGGAGGGUCAUUGGAAACUGGGAGACUUGAGUGCAGAAGAGGAGAGUGGAAUUCCAUGUGUAGCGGUGAAAUGCGUAGAUAUAUGGAGGAACACCAGUGGCGAAGGCGGCUCUCUGGUCUGUAACUGACGCUGAGGCUCGAAAGCGUGGGGAGCAAACAGGAUUAGAUACCCUGGUAGUCCACGCCGUAAACGAUGAGUGCUAAGUGUUGGAGGGUUUCCGCCCUUCAGUGCUGCAGCUAACGCAUUAAGCACUCCGCCUGGGGAGUACGACCGCAAGGUUGAAACUCAAAGGAAUUGACGGGGGCCCGCACAAGCGGUGGAGCAUGUGGUUUAAUUCGAAGCAACGCGAAGAACCUUACCAGGUCUUGACAUCCUUUGACCACUCUAGAGAUAGAGCUUCCCCUUCGGGGGCAAAGUGACAGGUGGUGCAUGGUUGUCGUCAGCUCGUGUCGUGAGAUGUUGGGUUAAGUCCCGCAACGAGCGCAACCCUUAUUGUUAGUUGCCAUCAUUUAGUUGGGCACUCUAGCAAGACUGCCGGUGACAAACCGGAGGAAGGUGGGGAUGACGUCAAAUCAUCAUGCCCCUUAUGACCUGGGCUACACACGUGCUACAAUGGGAAGUACAACGAGUCGCAAAGUCGCGAGGCUAAGCUAAUCUCUUAAAGCUUCUCUCAGUUCGGAUUGUAGGCUGCAACUCGCCUACAUGAAGCCGGAAUCGCUAGUAAUCGCGGAUCAGCACGCCGCGGUGAAUACGUUCCCGGGCCUUGUACACACCGCCCGUCACACCACGAGAGUUUGUAACACCCGAAGUCGGUGAGGUAACCUUUUGGAGCCAGCCGCCUAAGGUGGGAUAGAUGAUUGGGGUGAAGUCGUAACAAGGUAGCCGUAUCGGAAGGUGCGGCUG
rnacentral:rRNA from 2 species